GUGCCAGCCGCCGCGGUAAUACCAGCCCCGCGAGUGGUCGGGACUCUUGCUGGGCCUAAAGCGCCCGUAGCCGGCCCGGUAAGUCCCUCCUUAAAGCCCCGGGCUCAACCCGGGGAGCGGGGGGAUACUGCCGGGCUAGGGGGCGGGAGAGGCCGGGGGUACCCCAGGGGUAGGGGCGAAAUCCGAUAAUCCCUGGGGGACCACCAGUGGCGAAGGCGCCCGGCUGGAACGCGCCCGACGGUGAGGGGCGAAAGCCGGGGGAGCGAACCGGAUUAGAUACCCGGGUAGUCCCGGCUGUAAACUAUGCGGGCCAGGUGUCGGGCGGGCGUUAGAGCCCGCCCGGUGCCGCAGGGAAGCCGUUAAGCCCGCCGCCUGGGGAGUACGGCCGCAAGGCUGAAACUUAAAGGAAUUGGCGGGGGGGCACCACAAGGGGUGGAACCUGCGGCUCAAUUGGAGUCAACACCUGGAAGUUUACCGGGGGAGACCGCAGGAUGACGGCCAGGCUAACGACCUUGCCUGACUCGCGGAGAGGAGGUGCAUGGCCGUCGCCAGUUCGUGUUGUGAAAUGUCCGGUUAAGUCCGGCAACGAGCGAGACCCCCACCCCUAGUUGGUACCCUGGCCUCCGGGCCAGGGCCACACUAGGGGGACUGCCGCCGUAAGGCGGAGGAAGGAGGGGGCCACGGCAGGUCAGCAUGCCCCGAAACCCCCGGGCCGCACGCGGGUUACAAUGGCAGGGACAGCGGGAUCCUGCCCCGAGAGGGGUGGGCAAUCCCUAAACCCUGCCUCAGUUGGGAUCGAGGGCUGCAACUCGCCCUCGUGAACAAGGAAUCCCUAGUAACCGCAGGUCACCAACCUGCGGUGAAUACGUCCCUGCUCCUUGCACACACCGCCCGUC
rnacentral:rRNA from 1 species